rnacentral:rRNA from 1 species
GACGAACGCUGGCGGCGUGCUUAACACAUGCAAGUCGAACGGAAAGGCCCUGCUUUUGUGGGGUGCUCGAGUGGCGAACGGGUGAGUAACACGUGAGUAACCUGCCCUUGACUUUGUGAUAACUUCAGGAAACUGGGGCUAAUACCGGAUAGGAGCUCCUGCUGCAUGGUGGGGGUUGGAAAGUUUCGGCGGUUGGGGAUGUACUCUCGGCUUAUCAGCUUGUUGGUGGGGUAGUGGCUUACCAAGGCUUUGACGGGUAGCCGGCCUGAGAGGGUGACCGGCCACAUUGGGACUGAGAUACGGCCCAGACUCCUACGGGAGGCAGCAGUGGGGAAUAUUGCACAAUGGGCGGAAGCCUGAUGCAGCAACGCCGCGUGCGGGAUGACGGCCUUCGGGUUGUAAACCGCUUUCGCCUGUGACGAAGCGUGAGUGACGGUAAUGGGUAAAGAAGCACCGGCUAACUACGUG